GGAGUUUGAAGAGAAGAAGACUGAGCUUCAACCCAAAGUUGUUGAAAUUUAUGAAGCUGCUGCAGUUGAGAUCAAGAGCUUAGUGAAGGAACCAAAGGGUGCAGGGCUGAAGAAAAACUCAGAUGGGGUUCAGAAAUUCCUUGAUGACCUUGUCAAGAUUGAAUUUCCGGGAUCAAAAGCUGUUAGCGAAGCAAGUUCAAACUUUGGGCCUUCCUAUGUAUCGGGCCCAAUUAUUUUUGUGUUCGAAAAAGUUUCCACUUUCAUAGUCACAGAAGAUAAGAAGGAAGAGGAACCCGCGGCUGCUGAUGACGUGCAUGCACCAGCCGCCACGUCAACUGAAGAGGUGGAGGUGAAGGUGAAGGAGAAGGAGAAGGAGAUAGUUAUUGAGUCUGGAGAACCAAACAAGGAAGAAGCACCUGCUACUGUUGUUGCUGACGUGGCACCUGCAACUAAGGUGGAAGAAGCACCAAAGGUGGUUUAAUCAUCGUAUACGUCUAAAAAUUUGCAUCUUUAUCUUCUUCUUUUUUUUAAUGUGUCAUGGUUAUUUACUGUGAGAAAAACUUGAUUUAUUAUUCUUUUGUUAGUGUUUCUCUCCUUGUUUAUUUUCUUUGUACCAUAUUAUCUCAUCAACAAAGUCUUUG
rnacentral:misc_RNA from 1 species